UUGGUUUCUACAGAAAAGACACAAACUGUUUACCAAACCAAAUGCUGCUACAGCCCAUCAGCUCAAUUCUAUCAAACUUUAUUAAUAAACAGAUUCCAUCUUUACAAGCAGCUGAUCAACAACAAUGGUUCAGGAUUCUUAAAGAAUUGCAACAAGUGUUUUCUCAGGUCGCUGAUCACCUAUUUACAACAAAACAAAUAUCAAAAGAGGCGAGUAAUCAAAACAAUAUUGAUAUAAACAGAAA